CUGAUAUAUCGAAUAAAAGGCAGAAGAACAGAACAAGGCAAGGAAUUUCUUGACCAGUUGACCACCACCGUAGGAACAUGUUAUUCUAAUGCAAGACAACUCCAAGUGAUAUGAAAUUCGUGUUCCUGGAGAAAAGCCAACUGGUUUUGUAUGAUUCGACUGCUGGGAAAGCAAACCAGUUUUCGGACUUUGCCCUUGCCAGCUGGACUCGCGAAAUUGCUGAGUAAAAUAUCAUAGCUAACGCUAAAAUAACAAAAAUAAAACUGAAACCGGCUCCGAGAGGUUGCACAUAUUUCCCAAAGCUAUUGCCCCUUUUUCUAUGUUUUUCAACCCUUUCUCUUUAUAUUUAAAGCGAAACUGGACACCAGCUUGACCCGUUCCUGUGCUCGGUCGACAUCUGCCUGUACCGAAAUCACAUUUAAUGUAACAAAUCAGGUAGUAUAUAAGACGGAACCAGCCGAAUCGGACCACUAUAUCUUAUAGCUCCCAUAGGAACCAUCAGGGAAAAAUUAAAAAAAAAAUUUUUUUUAACAUAUACCUUUCUAAGG